UGCGUAGGCGGUCCUUUAAGUGGGAUGUGAAAUCCCUGGGCUUAACCCAGGAACUGCAUUCCAAACUGGAGGACUAGAGUGCAGGAGAGGAAAGCGGUAUUCCCAGUGUAGCGGUGAAAUGCGUAGAGAUUGGGAGGAACACCAGUAGCGAAGGCGGCUUUCUGGAAUGUAACUGACGCUGAGGCACGAAAGCGUGGGGAGCAAACA
rnacentral:rRNA from 1 species